rnacentral:rRNA from 1 species
ACACAUGCAGUCGAGCGGUAACAGGAAUUAGCUUGCUAAUUUGCUGACGAGCGGCGGACGGGUGAGUAAUGCCUAGGGAACUGCCCAGUCGAGGGGGAUAACAGUUGGAAACGACUGCUAAUACCGCAUACGCCCUACGGGGGAAAAGAGGGGACCUUCGGGCCUUCUGCGAUUGGAUGUACCUAGGUGGGAUUAGCUAGUUGGUGAGGUAAUGGCUCACCAAGGCGACGAUCCCUAGCUGUUCUGAGAGGAUGAUCAGCCACACUGGGACUGAGACACGGCCCAGACUCCUACGGGAGGCAGCAGUGGGGAAUAUUGCACAAUGGGCGCA